GGCAUAUCAGCAUAUAACAAAAUAUACAUCAAAAUUCAAAACAUACCUUCAUAUAUAAACAGUAAAAGACAGCAAAUAAAAUUGAUAUGCAAUUGUCGAAAACAAUAGCGAAGCAUGACAAAUUUAUGAAUAAUGAAGUCUUAUGACAGCAAACAAAAGCAAACAAAUUUGUUCCUAAAUUAUUCAGUUCUUCUACAUUUUGUACCAAUUAUAACUGCAUGAGAUUUAAAUGUGCAUGAUUCUUCAAAAGAAUUGUUUUGUAUAUAUUUUACUGAUAUCGUCCUGGUUUAUUUUACAUAUCGAAAUAAAAUGACACGUCAACAAAUUUAUCAAUAUACAUUAUACACUAUCUCUCAUUUAUGUGCACAUUUAAAAAGAGACCUGUUUCAAUCUAUUAACAAUAUGCGUGUAUUCUAGAUAUAUACAAGUUAAUGGUUGAAAUACUUAAUUGGCGGUUCUUUUUAUAUCAUGUAUAUAAAGCCGAAAACUAGGUGUACAAAUACCCACAUUUUUAUGAUUCUCCCCCCCCCCCAAAAAAAAAUCAUUUAUUUAUAAAGUAAUUAGUCAGUCGUUGUUUAAACUCAAUACGAAACUUAUCUAUAUAGCCUUGCUUGACCAAAAUAUAUUUACAAUCAUGUGUACAAGUAUUUUGUAUCUCGGACUUUGCAAACAAAAUUCAGUCUAAUUUUACAAAUAGAUUUUAGCAUUGUACCAUAUCAAGUUUUUAAUAUUUAAAACCAGUCUUUCAUUAUUCUACAAUAACUUUCAAUAUACAUAGGAAAAAUAGAAAAUAACACAAAUAAUAGUUGCUGAAAACAAAUGUCUAAAACAAACUUUCCAGAACUUAAGUUAAUAUUGAUAAACAGUCAAAUUAUAUUAAAUAUUGAAUGCACGAAUGUAUAUGGAAACUUUGAUUGACACUAAUACAUGCAUAUAAUGCUAAACAAUGUAUUGCUUUCCUUUAAAGUUAAAAUUUGACCUUGUCAUGUAUACCACAUAUUAAAUGCUUACGGGGGUAGACCUUGGUUCAGGGAGAUAACUCUUUAAAUCAGUUAAGCGUUUGUAAAAGUCAAGCUCAUCAAUGUAUUUUAAGCAUUUACCUGAAACAGAUUGAAAAUAAUCUAUGUAACUUAGAAGCUUAGAAUAUAUUUUUACAAAUGGUUGACACAAACUUACUGAUGAUUUUAAGAGUUAUUUCCCUUAACCUAGGUCUACCUCCUUAAAUGCGGUUUAAAGUUAAAUUACAUCAACAAAAAAAUAACAUACAAAUGCAACUAACAAAGAAUGAAAAUGAAGGCAGAUCAAGAACAAUUAUUAUGAAAGUGAUAUAUACUUAAAU
rnacentral:lncRNA from 1 species